CCAGCACUUGCACAAGGUUGCAACAAACCUUGACUUAUUUACAGAGAGAUGUCAAGUGGAGAUAAAAUCACUUAAUAAUCCACCAGAUCUUGCUAAAUACAUUUUCCUUCCAUGCCCUCUCUGAAAGCAGCUGGACCUCAUGCCUGUUCUGAGAGCAACACUUCUGCCCAGGAAGCAAGAGAGGAGUCUCCCUCCAUCUCCUUCAUCUCCUCUCCCUGUAGCAUUAGUGGCAGUAGCCUCCUACAGAGACACAUGGGAGACAAAAUGGUGAGCACAGCUACUCCAGCUCUAUGGAGGGUCUGGAAGUUAAGAAGCAAGGGAGUGUUUUGACUUGGUGCAACUGGAGGACUCCCAGGGGGAACAAGGAGUGGAUUCCCCGUGUAUGACUGGUGGCAACCACAGCAGGUACAGCUCUGCUGAAAUCAAUCAGACACCAGGAUGAGAGUCACUUCAGUUCAUGAACAGCACAGAGACCCAAAGAUGAUUUUCCUAAUUGCCAACUCUGCCCUUUCAUCCUAAAACCAGAAAAUCUUGCUGCCAUCUCUCUGCUAUUAAGAGCCUCAUCAGUGGUUCAGCUUCUGCUGCUCUAGACCCUCCUGAGAUCUGCACUGACUUGGAAGCUCAAGGAAGUCCUGUUUGCUCUUUCACAGCUGUGCUGGACGUUGAAACAUCACCAGGCUGGAGCUCACACGUACACCCCAGACCUGAGUCUUCACUUCCUGUAGAGCAGUGUGAUGCUGGUGACUGUACCCAUCCUCCGAGCUGCAGCCCUGCAAAGAGCUCGCACCCAUGUUCCUUUCAGCAUGUGGAUCUGUCCUGUUGCCAUUAUUAAGUCUGCCUGAGUGUCUGCAGUUACACACACGCUUAAGUGCUUUGCUGGAUGAGUGCUCUUUGUUUCUGGAAGGUAAAGGAAAUGCAGGCCUGGAAAUGCCAACCAGCACAGGCCCACCUCUCAUUUAUCUCACUUUUAUAACUUUGAAACUCUUCCUUCACUUUGGUAAUAAUGUAAAGUAUCAACUAAAAAUUGCAAUGCAUGCAUUUCAUUUGAGUUUUAUUGCCUUAACAGACAGCAUUAGAUUACAAAAGAGGACAUUUUUCUUCUCAGUUUUAGCUUAUUCUUAUGAUUUAUGAUUAGAUACAGCAAGAGUUCAUAAACUUCCCUGACCUGCUGACAGUUUUUACAGGCUCCUUGAUUUAUUUCCAUCUCAAACUUAACAGCUUUCAUGUGACUGAUAUUCCUAGAGUCCUGGCAUGGCUGCAGCACAGUCUGUGAGAGCUCCUCUAAUCUCCGUGUUACUAAUUUAAAUGAAGUCUUGGUCUGUUGUUUAAAAAAGACAUUCGUCAUCUCAUGGAGGUUUACAGAUCCUCUUGUAAUGUAAUGUCAGACACUUCUGAGAUAUGAGUUUUAGAAAGCCUCCCGAUAUUGAGUGUUGUAAGACACACCAAGGUCACUUCAAUAUGCCAAAGAAAAAAAACAUUUGCAAAACAAGAGGAGAGGAAUUCCUAAGAAACUGCAUUGUACCGAGGACAUUUAGAAAUGAUUUAUACCAUCUGUGAGUACAUUUCAAAGAUAAAUCUGGUGCUGGGGAGAAAAGGAGGGGGGGAGGCUAAAUUUGAAUCCAGAAAAAUCCACAGACAUCCAGCCAACAGCUAUGAGUUCCUGAUAAAAAACAACUCACAGAGCAAUAUUCUCACAGUCAUAGAGGUUGCAGCAUCAACAGUUUCCCAGUGUGCUCCAAAGCUACUGUGCUAACUAAGGCUGCUCUUUCAGCAAAGAUGCAGCUGGCAUUCUGUUUUCAUUGUACACUUUCCAAACAACAACAAAAAGGAUGCAUUUUGUAAUAACAAAGACCAAACUAGUAAGAGAGAGAAAAGGGAAAGAAAGCAAGAUAAGAAAAGUGGGUGUCUCUCUAAGUUCAUAUACCACCCAGCUGAAGACAGAAAAAUACCAUUAUUUUUGUCUCCAGAACAUUUAGAAACUGGCAAGAAGUAAGUGAUGUGAAAGUGUAUGAAGGUGAAAGGAACCUAACUGGAAAACAUGAGGUAGGUUUUCUUUAAUACUGAUGGGUACAGCAGAGAGGGUAGACCCAUAAAUAUUCGUGGAGCUUUGGAGGUUCUCCAGUGACUAUGCUUAGGUGUUUGAGGUCAACUGUGAUCAAGCCUUAGUAUGACAGAAAAUUGCUUUUGUAAUAUUUGUAGAUCAGAUAAGAGAUGACAAGCAACGCUAGGUUAUGACACACUGGAGAUAUAAAUACAGGUUGCCCAGAUCAUAUGAUUGAUUGAACCCUUUUAUUUUUGCUGAAGAAAUUUAGCUAGCCUUGCUGGCAACACACCCAGAGCACUAAAUAAACGUUAGAUACAGUAGCUUGUCAGAAUUUAUAAAAGAGCAAUCGACAUUUGCUUUACCGUCAAAACAGCAGCCUACGAGUUUCCUCUCUUUGGAAGGAGAAUCUGGAAAAUAAAAGAAUGCUAUACAGCGUAAUACCUUCAAAUCACAAAUGCCAUGGUUAAGUCUGAUCCAGAAAUGAUAGCUGCUUUCAUGCAAUGAGCUCCCCUUGUCCUCAAAAACAACGUGCCUGCGAGUGUCAUUGCAGCAAGCCGCCAGCAGUAGUUGCUGCGUAGCACAGAACACAGAGACAAAUGUGGAUUUAUCACAGAGCUUCCUAUUCUACGCUCCGAACAGACACUUUCAUUGCAGACAGAGAUAGAAAAAUAGCAUUGCUGGGGCUGUACAGUGUCUGCAACUGCAUUGCAGCAAAGUAGAUUAUUAAGAACACAAUGAGACUUUAUGCCUAAUUUCAGAAUUUUGUAUGUGAAUUUAAGUCCAAACAUCUCAUUCACAAUUACACUGAAGAACUUCUAAGAUUUCUUUCUGCUGUCCAAGCAACAUAAUAGAGUCAUGUUGCACAUGAAACGUAAACUCCCAGCAGUUUGUCUUUCUAGGAUUACGUGGUGUUUUCCACAUAAAAAUCACAUCCUCUCUUGGGCAAAGGUUCAUUUUGCAGGCCAGAUCCACUGGAUCAAAACAAAGACUGCAAUAAAUCAGCUUUGUGGAGCUCUGUGAAUUUUCACUUUACUGGCCUGCAUCACAAGAACCACCUUUCUUCAGCCACUUGUGUAGGAGAAAAUGUUUGUCAAUAGUCUUACCCUGGGAGAUGGGUAUUAUUCUAUAGAGAGUGAAAAAAAAAAAAAAGAAAAAAAAAAGAAACAGGAUCCCAUCAGCUACCUCUUUUUACUCUGAUAGAGAACAUGUCUGCAAGGACAGACCAAUUGUCAGCAAAACUAUGUCCCUGCUGAAUUUAUACACAUUGCUCAUUCUUAAUAAAUGUUGCUAAAGAAAUAUUUUUUUGUAUCUAUGUGCACAUCUGUCCUUUCUUACAAAAAUCUCUUAGAAGGAAUUCCCCCUCUCUCCCUGAGCGAUAAACCCACCUGCACCAAGACUCUGGAGGACAGAGACUUCAACAGGUCUGUAGCAUCCAUCAGUAAGACUAUGAGGGCUACGAGGAUGAUUAAGGGACUGGAACACCUGCCUUACGAGGAAAGGCUGAGAGACCUGGGGCUUUUCAGUUUAGAGGAGAAGACUGGGGGGGGAUCUAAUUCAUGUCUAUAAAUACAUGAGGGCUGGGCAUCAAGAAGGCAGGGACAAGCUUUUUUCACUUGUGCCCUGUGAUAGGAUGAGGGGCAAUGGACUCAAACUUGAGCAUAGGAAGUUCCACCUCAACAUGAGGAAAAACUUCUUACUGUGAGGGUUACAGAGCACUGGAACAGGCUUCCCAGAGAGGCUGUGGAGUCUCCUUCUCUGGAGACUUUCAAGAUCUGUCUGGAUUCCUUUCUGAGUGGUAUGCCCUAGUUCUGUGUGGUUUUUUGGUCCUACUCCAGCAGGGGGGUUGGACUUGAUAAUCUUUGGAGGUCCCUUCCAACCCCUAAUAAUAUGUGAUUCUGUGAGAUUUCUAAACCCAUUGAUGUAUCUGCACAGACAUCCAGGGGCUAGCCAGGA